UCUUACCCCACCUAAGCCUGCCGAAGUUGACGCUGCGUUCAAGUUUAUUUCAAGUUCAAGAUUGCCACCAUUACAAAAAAAAAAAAAAAAUCACCACUUUUGAUUGUUCUGACAUGAGUCUGCAUACGUUGCGAGGGUCGGCCAUAGUCGGACUGCUGGGAGGACACUUGUGACGAGGCGUAAGAGAAGCGAGAUGAGCUCGAGACCUUGCUGGCCUGAUCUGAUUGGUCGUACGCAUCCACCUUCUCAUAGGAAGCAGGCUUAACAUAACUGGUGAAGGCGUGGCCAUAAGUAGCAGCAGGGGCAGCUGGGUUAAGAACCCUGCAGGUGUAGGUGCGUCCGGAGUCACUGUCCUCUGGAAUGAUCGGAAGCAUACUGACAGCCGCUUCCCUCUUCCCAUCUUCCAUUAGGGACUACGAGGAAGGACAAAAACGAAGAGAAGAAUGAAAGAGUCAACAAAUUUGUGCCGUCCCCGCCCGUGUGUAUGCUCACAACACAGCCCCGAAGAGUCACAACUGGGGAAGAAGACUCUAGGAAAAUGGCAGGAAGCUCCCAUUGUCCUGUUCCCUGUCAUAUCCUUUCCGGCUCCUCAAACCACCUCAGAGGAAGACACGCUGAGGAUGUGCAGACAGACACAAGGAGAGAGUGAAGACAAAAGGAGGAUGGGUGGGAAGAGUUAAAAAUAAUACCAAAGAGGCCAAGUGUCAUCAACAGUUUGCUACCUGGCUACUUGGGCUUCCUGUGUUGAGCCAUACCAGUGCGCACAUCCACUUAAGUUGCUAACAGCUGAUAACAAAGCCUCGGGACACACUGCCAAGUUCUUUAUCUGUGUUUACCCACAUGGCAAAGCUGAUUAGAGAUGAGCAACAUUAUGAAGCCCCAUUGUUUCCUUUCUCAAUCCAGUUUCUCCUUCCGUAAAAAUGCUGCAAGUGCGUGUGCAGGAAGGGGGGCUCGGAGGAUAUGAAGAACAGCAGAAAGACAAUGCCUCGUGUGCAUGACGGGUCUUCAGGAUGAAAGGAAAUAACAGGUCUUUAUUGCAGAUUUUGGACAUUCAUUUCUGUCGGCUUGGGUGUGCCUGUGCGUGUGUGUGUUUGCAUGACCACAUCAUUUGUGAAAAAGAAAAACUGGAUGCCUUGCUCUAAAAAUAUUCUUCCAGUCAUCGACUAACCUACAGUAAUCUUGGCAAAACUCUUAAAAUGCACAUGUUGGGAUAAAGUUUAAAAUAUAAAAAAGCACAUGUGAAUCUUUCAUUUUGUGUCUAGUUUUGUGGCAAUCUAGAAAUUUCAGAUACAGCGUUAAAAACAAGCAACACGGACUGAACAUCGAGUUGACCACAUGUUAUCUAUCUUUGCCCUGACUUUGUCUCCUAAAUUUUG